rnacentral:piRNA from 1 species
UCCAUGACUCUUGAUGUUAGGAAUAGCAGC